GGAGCACUUUUUUCAGUCUGAACUUUUUAAUGAGUCACACUCACUGUCAAAUCAAAUAUGCUGGAAGCUCUAGCACAAGACCACCAGCAGACUUAUGUAGUCACAGUUUGCAUUUCAGCCAGAUGACAAGCAAAGCAGGACACUGGAUGUGUGCUAAAGCUAAAUUAGUGACCUCCAGCUAAAUCCAAUCAAUAAAAAUGUCAGUACUUGGAUUAUGUAAAUUGAUGCAACUGUAUGUCGAUAAGCUUUUGCAGGGUUUUUCCUGCAUAGAGGCUGCAUUGUUUUGACUGGGCCUAAACACUCAGCUGGGAAGCUAGCGCAAAUGGGAAACAGGACUUCCUGUGGUUUUUCAUAAAAUAAAAGCCGCGACUCUGACUCUGUAGUAACGUAGCAACCAGGUUAAAUUGGUGUUUCCAUCUCUCUCCUCUGUGAUCUGUCUCUGUCAAGCAGGUAUGUGUGUCUGAGCUACACACACACACUUAUAGCAGACCUAUAUUAAAAGCUGACGGUGGCUUCGGCUGUAUUCACACAAAAUCCGCCAAUGUGGCUCCUUCCAACAGGGUUCUGUGGAGGUUGGACAAGACUCAACCCAGACCAACUGCCUCAAGAAGACGAGGAGAAAUUCAUUCUAAAUUUGGUGCCGUGUGGUUCACCCAUCCAAGAACCAGCACACCAGGCUCUUUCCAGCCACACACCACCACACACAGUUCCACCCAUCCAGGAACCAGCACACCAGGCUCCACCCAUCCAAGAACCAGCACACCAGGCUCCACCCAUCCAGAAACCAAGCACACCAGGCUCCACCCAUCCAAGAACCAGCACACCAGGCUCCACCCAUCCAGAAACCAAGCACACCAGGCUCCACCCAUCCAAGAACCAGCACACCAGGCUCCACCCAUCCAGAAACCAAGCACACCAGGCUCCACCCAUCCAAGAACCAGCACACCAGGCUCCACCCAUCCAGAAACCAAGCACACCAGGCUCCACCCAUCCAAGAACCAGCACACCAGGCUCCACCCAUCCAGAAACCAAGCACACCAGGCUCCACCCAUCCAAGAACCAGCACACCAGGCUCCACCCAUCCAGAAACCAAGCACACCAGGCUCCACCCAUCCAAGAACCAGCACACCAGGCUCCACCCAUCCAGAAACCAAGCACACCAGGCUCCACCCAUCCAAGAACCAGCACACCAGGCUCCACCCAUCCAGGAACCAUCACACCAGGCUCCACCCAUCCAAGAACCAGCACACCUGGCUCUUUCCAGCCACACACCACCACACACAGCUCUACCCAUCCAGGAACCAGCACACCAGGUCUCAGCUGUGCAGCCACCACUGCGGGGUCCACAGCAACGUAA
ensembl:lncRNA